UACGGAGGGGACUAGCGUUGUUCGGAAUUACUGGGCGUAAAGCGCACGUAGGCGGAUUUGUAAGUCAGGGGUGAAAUCCCGGGGCUCAACCUCGGAACUGCCUUUGAUACUGCAAAUCUCGAGUCCGGAAGAGGUGAGUGGAAUUCCUAGUGUAGAGGUGAAAUUCGUAGAUAUUAGGAAGAACACCCGUGGCUAAGGCGGCUCUCUAGUACGGUACUGACGCUGAGACGCGAAAGCGUGGGGAGCGAACAGG
rnacentral:rRNA from 1 species